CUAAAAUAGCAAACUUAUCGAAAGGUAAGGACGCAAAACCACGAAUCUAAGGUUAGACACUAUGAUAGUCGGGUUGCCG
rnacentral:ncRNA from 1 species